rnacentral:ncRNA from 1 species
CGACCCCAGCUCAGGCGAGAACACCCAAUGAGUUUAAGCAUAUAAUUAAGCGAAGGAAAAGAAACUUACAAGGAUUCCCCUAGUAACGACGAGCGAACCGGGAAGAGUCCAGCAUGAAAAUCGGGUGGCAGCGUCGCCUGAAUUGUAGUCUGUAGAAGCGUCCUUAGCGGCGGACUGGGCCCAAGUCUCCUGGAAGGGGGUGCCUGAGAGGGUGACAGCCCCGUCGGGCCUGGACCCUGCUGCACCACGAGGCGUUGUCGGUGAGUCGAGUUGUUUGGGAAUGCAG